rnacentral:rRNA from 1 species
ACAUUGCCCGUUCGUGAGCAAUCACGAGCGGUAGCGGAGCGUUCUGUAAGCUGAUGAAGCCAUACCCGUGAGGGGUGGUGGAGGUAUCAGAAGUGCGAAUGCUGACAUGAGUAACGUAAGGGGAGUGAGAGACUCCCCCGCCGAAAGACCAAGGGUUCCUGCUUAAAGCUAAUCUGAGCAGGGUUAGCCGGCCCCUAAGACGAGGCGGAAACGCGUAGUCGAUGGGAACCACGUUAAUAUUCGUGGGCUUGGAGGUAGUGACGGAUCAUUGAGGUAGUCCAAUCUUAUCGGAUUGAACGGGCUGCUGCGUGGUUCCAGGAAAUAGCUCCUCCUUAUAAACCGUACCCGAAACCGACACUGGUGGUCUGGUAGAGUAUACCAAGGCGCUUGAGAGAACUAUGCUGAAGGAACUCGGCAAAUUGCACGCGUAACUUCGGAAGAAGCGUGACCCUUUUCCACGCAAGUGGAGGAGGGUGGCACAGACCAGGGGGUAGCGACUGUUUAUCAAAAACACAGGGCUCUGCGAAGUCGCAAGACGACGUAUAGGGUCUGACGCCUGCCCGGUGCUGGAAGGUUAAGAGGAGGGGUGCAAGCUCUGAAUCGAAGCCCCAGUAAACGGCGGCCGUAACAAUAACGGUCCUAAGGUAGCGAAAUUCCUUGUCGGGUAAGUUCCGACCUGCACGAAUGGCGUAACGACUUCCCCGCUGUCUCCAGCAUAGACUCAGUGAAAUUGAAUUCCCCGUGAAGAUGCGGGGUUCCUGCGGUUAGACGGAAAGACCCCGUGCACCUUUACUAUAGCUUUACAUUGGCAUUCGUAGUGGCAUGUGUAGGAUAGGUGGUAGGCUUUGAAACCUGGGCGCCAGCUCAGGUGGAGCCACCCUUGAAAUACCACCCUUAUUACUAUGGAUGUCUAACCGCGGCCCGUUAUCCGGGUCCGGGACAAUGUAUGGUGGGUAGUUUGACUGGGGCGGUCGCCUCCUAAAGAGUAACGGAGGCGCGCGAUGGUGGGCUCAGAACGGUCGGAAAUCGUUCGCUGAGUGCAAUGGCAUAAGCCUGCCUGACUGCGAGACUGACAAGUCGAGCAGAGACGAAAGUCGGUCAUAGUGAUCCGGUGGUCCCGCGUGGAAGGGCCAUCGCUCAACGAAUAAAAGGUACGCCGGGGAUAACAGGCUGAUGACCCCCAAGAGUCCAUAUCGACGGGGUUGUUUGGCACCUCGAUGUCGACUCAUCGCAUCCUGGGGCUGGAGCAGGUCCCAAGGGUAUGGCUGUUCGCCAUUUAAAGCGGUACGUGAGUUGGGUUCAGAACGUCGUGAGACAGUUCGGUCCCUAUCUGCCGUGGGUGUAGGAAUAUUGAAAGGAUCUGUCCCUAGUACGAGAGGACCGGGAUGGACGGAUCUCUGGUGGACCUGUUGUGGCGCCAGCCGCAUAGCAGGGUAGCUAUAUCCGGACGGGAUAACCGCUGAAGGCAUCUAAGCGGGAAACCCACCUUAAAACGAGUAUUCCCUGAGAACCGUGGAAGACGACCACGUUGAUAGGCCGGGUGUGGAAGAGCGGCAACGCUUGAAGCUUACCGGUACUAAUAGUUCU